rnacentral:rRNA from 1 species
UGGGGAAUAUUGCACAAUGGGCGCAAGCCUGAUGCAGCCAUGCCGCGUGUGUGAAGAAGGCCUUCGGGUUGUAAAGCACUUUCAGCGGGGAGGAAGGCGUUAAGGUUAAUAACCUUGGCGAUUGACGUUACCCGCAGAAGAAGCACCGGCUAACUCCGUGCCAGCAGCCGCGGUAAUACGGAGGGUGCAAGCGUUAAUCGGAAUUACUGGGCGUAAAGCGCACGCAGGCGGUCUGUCAAGUCGGAUGUGAAAUCCCCGGGCUCAACCUGGGAACUGCAUUCGAAACUGGCAGGCUAGAGUCUUGUAGAGGGGGGUAGAAUUCCAGGUGUAGCGGUGAAAUGCGUAGAGAUCUGGAGGAAUACCGGUGGCGAAGGCGGCCCCCUGGACAAAGACUGACGCUCAGGUGCGAAAGCGUGAGGAGCAAACAGG